GGCCUGGUGGCGAGUGGCGAACGGGUGAGUAUACAUCGGAACGUACCCAGAAGUGGGGGAUAACGUAGCGAAAGUUACGCUUAAUACCGCAUACGUUCUACGGAAGAAAGUGGGGGAUCGCAAGACCUCAUGCUUUUGGAGCGGCCGAUGUCUGAUUAGCUAGUUGGUGAGGUAAAGGCUCACCAAGGCGACGAUCAGUAGCUGGUCUGAGAGGACGACCAGCCACACUGGAACUGAGACGCGGUCCAGACUCCUACGGGAGGCAGCAGUGGGGAAUUUUGGACAAUGGGCGCAAGCCUGAUCCAGCAAUGCCGCGUGAGUGAAGAAGGCCUUCGGGUUGUAAAGCUCUUUUGUGCAGGGAAGAAACGGCAGGGGCUAAUAUCCUUUGCUAAUGACGGUGCGUGAAGAAU
rnacentral:rRNA from 1 species